rnacentral:rRNA from 1 species
GGAUAACGCUACGGCAGGCUAAUACCGCAGUCGAACGGUGUCUUCGGACAUAGUGGCGCACGGGUGCGUAACACGUAUGCAACCUACCUUACAUUGGGGGAUAGCCUUUCGAAAGGGAGAUUAAUACCGCAUAAGACAGUAGCUGGGCAUCCAGCAGCUGUUAAAGAUUUAUCGAUGUAAGCUGGGCAUGCGUCCAAUUAGCUAGUUGGUGAGGUAAUGGCUCACCAAGGCAAUGAUUGGUAGGGGAACUGAGAGGUCAAUCCCCCACACUGGCACUGAGAUACGGGCCAGACUCCUACGGGAGGCAGCAGUAGGGAAUAUUGGGCAAUGGACGCAAGUCUGACCCAGCCAUGCCGCGUGCAGGAUGAAGGCGUUAUGCGUUGUAAACUGCUUUUAUACAGGAAGAAACGACUCUUGCGAGAGGCAUUGACGGUACUGUAUGAAUAAGCACCGGCUAACUCCGUGCCAGCAGCCGCGGUAAUACGGAGGGUGCAAGCGUUGUCCGGAUACUAUUGGGUUUAAAGGGUGCGCAGGUGGUUUAUUCAAGUCAGUGGUGAAACGACGGUCGCUCAACGAUUGCAGUGCCAUUGAAACUGGUAGACUUGAGUAACGUACAGGUGGGCGGACAUUGAUAGUGUAGCGGUGACAUGCCUCAGAUUUAUCAAGAACU